rfam:Camelus ferus unplaced genomic scaffold scaffold1435, whole genome shotgun sequence.
GAGGGUAUAGCUCAGUGGUAGGGCACAGGCUUAGCAUGCAGGAGGCCCUGGGUUCAAUUCCCAGUACCUCCA